UAGCUUAGUGGUAGAGUACUUGUCUUGCACUCAGGAUUCCUGGGUUCAAUCCCCAA
rnacentral:tRNA from 1 species